rnacentral:rRNA from 1 species
AGUUGUAAAUCUUGUUAGUAUGAUUUUGUUAGAAAAUAGUAAAUGAAAAAUAAUUUUAGUGUAAUGAAAAAAAGUAAUUUUUAAUGAAAAAAAAUAUAACUAUAAAUUAUAAGUACUGUAAAGGAAAGAGAAGUAUAUAAAAAGAAAAAAAGAAAAAAUUAAAAUUUGUAUCUUGUGUAUCAGAGGGAAUUUAUAUAAUUGAAAUAAUAUCAAGAUCUCGAAAUAGAAAUAGUUAAUUUUAUAGUAGAGUUUUUGUAGGAUAAAAAUUUUUAAUAUAGAAUUAAAGGUGAAAUGUUAAACGAGUUUUAUUAUAUCUAGUUUUUUAAAAAAAAAUUUAAUUUGGUUUAUAUAUUAAAAUAGUAUAUAAGAAUAGAAUAGGAAGGAUGAGCUUUUUAUUAUUAAAUAGUGGAAUAGUGCGAUAAAAUUAAAAUUAUAUGAUCUAGGCUUAAAAGUAGUUAUGUUUAUAAAGUGUUUUAACUAAAUUAAAAGUAUAAUUAUUGUAUUUUUCUUUAAUAUUAAAAAUUUAUUUAAAAUGAUAAAUAAUAAGGUAAAAUGGUUUUAUUAGUAGAAUAAUAAGUUGUGAUAAAAUAAUAUUAGAAUAAAUUUAUGAAAUUAUUAUUAUGUAAAAUAUAUUAAAGGAAUUCAGUAAAUAUUUUCUUGCCUGUUUAUCAAAAACAUGUCUAUUUGAAGUUAUAAAAAGUCUGACCUGCCCACUGAUUUUAAAGUUUAAGGGCCGCGGUAUCAUGACCGUGCAAAGGUAGCAUAAUCAUUAGGUUUUUAAAUGAGAUCUUGUAUGAAUGGUUGGACAAAGGAAAAGCUGUCUUUAUAUUAAAGUUUAAAUUUUACUUUUAAGUGAGAAGGCUUAAAUAUAUUAAUGGGACGAUAAGACCCUAUAAAACUUCACAUUUAAAUUAUAUUUGGUUAAAUUUAAAAAUAAAAAUUUUCUAUAGUUAUUUGUUAUGUUGGGGCGACAAAAGUAAAAGUUUUAUUAACUGCUUAAAAGAUAAACAUUUAUAUGUGUAUUUUUAUGUUUAGUAGAUCCUAAUUAAAGAUUAAGAGAUUAAGUUACUUUAGGGAUAACAGUGUAAUUUUUUUUGAGAGUUCAUAUCGAAAAAGGAGUUUGCAACCUCGAUGUUGAAUUAAAUUAUCUAUAUAAUGCAGCUGUUAUAUUAGAAGGUCUGUUCGACU